CAGCCGCCGCGGGAAUACGGAGGGGGCUAGCGUUGUUCGGAAUUACUGGGCGUAAAGCGCACGUAGGCGGCUUGGUAAGUUAGAGGUGAAAGCCCAGGGCUCAACCCUGGAAUUGCCUUUAAGACUGCCGAGCUAGUAGGUGAGAGAGGUGAGUGGAAUUCCGAGUGUAGAGGUGAAAUUCGUAGAUAUUCGGAAGAACACAAGUGGCGAAGGCGGCUCACUGGCUCAUUCUAGACGCUGAGGUGCGAAAGCGUGGGGAGCAAACAGGAUUAGAUACCCCCGUAGUCCCUGUCUCUUAUAC
rnacentral:rRNA from 1 species